rnacentral:rRNA from 1 species
UAGCCGUAAACGAUACUCGCUAGGUGUCGGCCACGGUGCGACCGUUGUCGGUGCCGUAGGGAAGCCGUGAAGCGAGCCACCUGGGAAGUACGGCCGCAAGGCUGAAACUUAAAGGAAUUGGCGGGGGGAGCACAACAACGGGUGGAGCUUGCGGUUUAAUUGGAUUCAACGCCGGAAAUCUUACCGGGACCGGACAGCAACAUGAAGGCCAAGCUGAAGACUUUGCCGGAUUAGCUGANAGGAGGUGCAUGG